GUGUCUGUGUGUGUGUUAAUGUCACGGAGUGUGGGAAAGUCCGGGGCCUGCACCCCUCUUCCUGGGAUUCACUGUGACUCUCAGCCAGCCAGUAACACAGAAGGUUUAUUGGACAAUAGGAACACAGUCUACAACGGAGCUUGUGGGUACAACCAGGACCCCUCAGUC